UCUUAUGGAUGAGCCAAGAAAGUGGUUUCUUGAUAUGGAAUCUACUCCUAGUGAAGAUGCUGUGAA
rnacentral:pre_miRNA from 1 species